GGCCAGACUCCUACGGGAGGCAGCAGUGGGGAAUAUUGCACAAUGGGGGAAACCCUGAUGCAGCGACGCCGCGUGAGUGAAGAAGUAUUUCGGUAUGUAAAGCUCUAUCAGCAGGGAAGAAAAUGACGGUACCUGACUAAGAAGCCCCGGCUAACUACGUGCCAGCAGCCGCGGUAAUACGUAGGGGGCAAGCGUUAUCCGGAUUUACUGGGUGUAAAGGGAGCGUAGACGGCAUGGCAAGUCAGAUGUGAAAGCCCGGGGCUCAACCCCGGGACUGCAUUUGAAACUGUCAGGCUGGAGUGCAGGAGAGGUAAGUGGAAUUCCUAGUGUAGCGGUGAAAUGCGUAGAUAUUAGGAGGAACACCAGUGGCGAAGGCGGCUUACUGGACUGUAACUGACGUUGAGGCUCGAAAGCGUGGGGAGCAAACAGGAUUAGAUACCCGUGUA
rnacentral:rRNA from 1 species